CAGUUCCUGAGAAGAGGGCAUAUACCAUAACACAGGACCAGAAAAGGAGGCACCAGGGUUGGCUAUCUGACAGGAGAGGGAAUGCCAGGGUUGUCUGCUGAUGACCUGGGACUGACCACUCUACCUGAAGUACUGUUGCCGGCCCCUCGUGCGCACAUCCUGCUUCACCUCCAGGGUAUGGUACAGCCAGAGGUAGCAGUGUGAUGUUCUUCGGGGCGGAGUUUGGAGUCGAUCGUUCUGGCGAAUGAAGCUGAAAGACUGAGAAAGAGAACUGCACCAGAGAAGUGCAUCACGUGGCGUGGCCAAUUCCUUGGAUGCCUCCAGAGCCUCUUCUGUUCAUCUGAGAAGAGCCACUUUCAAUUCCAACAACUCGAUUUGUAGUAUCUAGCCUGCUAUAAUUCAGUUUAUUGUUAGUGACAAAGAAGAAUGUACGUUCUGCAUAUGACAUCUGAUUUAAUUUCUUUAUUACAACUAUUAUAUCCAUUAAAUAUCAAAUUUGCUGGUGUAUUAUCAUCUGACACAGUGUGAGUCACUGGUUCAUACACAGGGAACAAUAACAAUAAUUUAAAAUAAAAGAGAGAGACAUUUCA